CACAAACACUCUGAUCAAUGAACUGUGAUGUCACUGUGUUGCAUUCUGAUUGGCUGAGGCUGGCAGAACCAAUCAGAUGCAAGCUGGCACCAAUCAACCCAAACCUUGUCCCUGAUUGGUCAGAAUGAGACACUACGGAAGACACCAGCAGAAAGCAAGCUUACCUGAGAUGAGCUGAGGUCAGAGGUCACUGAAGAAAGCUGGAAGUGAAAGCAGAUGUCAGGCGCAGCAGGGGCUCAUUUGGUUCUGAUUGGUUCUUCUGGACUGUAGUUGAGUCAUUGCUGUUUGGACCGUUAUUCCCUCUGGUCCUGGAUGCUUACUUUCACACUGUUGUUAUGAUGCGUAACCAUAGCAACAAGACAGAUUUAAAGAGGAGCAGCAAAAGCAAAGGAGGUGGAUCAGCAGAGCAACAAGAAUAUGGUUUCUGCUGUCAGAGCCUUUUUCUGAUUCGCUGCAUCACUGACUCUACAGGAGAUCCUUCCUGCCCACAGUAUCACCAUCCACACCGACUCUUAAAGAUGACACGAGAUCAUUCACCUUUGGGGGUCUCCUGGUCGCUGCUGGAGGCGCUCAGCAGGGUGGACCGUCUCUUCAACAACACCAGGGUUUGGAAAAGUGGAAACGUUAUUUCCAGAAAAAGUUCUUUACUGCAGUUAAAUCAGCGCCGAACUGUUCCGGAACAACUUUUAUACCGACCCAGACUGAACCGGAGUUCUGCCCCAGGUUUAAUCCAGUGAACAUGAGAAUAAACUGAAAUCUUGAUGCUUUUUAACCGAGUUCCGCGCAGUGGU